UGGCAGUGAUCGCAAGUUAGUGCCCUGUUGUUUUGCAUAUACAGGGGCUAAAUUGCCUGCCA
rnacentral:pre_miRNA from 1 species